UACGUAGGGUGCAAGCGUUGUCCGGAAUUAUUGGGCGUAAAGAGCUCGUAGGUGGCCUGUCGCGUCGGCUGUGAAAACUCGGGGCUCAACUCCGAGCUUGCAGUCGAUACGGGCAGGCUAGAGUUCGGCAGGGGAGACUGGAAUUCCUGGUGUAGCGGUGAAAUGCGCAGAUAUCAGGGGGAACACCGGUGGCGAAGGCGGGUCUCUGGGCCGAUACUGACACUGAGGAGCGAAAGCGUGGGGAGCGAACAGG
rnacentral:rRNA from 1 species